UACCAGCACCCCGAGUGGUCGGGACGAUUAUUGGGCCUAAAGCAUCCGUAGCCGGUCAUGCAAGUCCUCCGUUAAAUCCACCCGCUCAACGGUUGGGCCGCGGGGGAUACUACAGGGCUAGGAGGCGGGAGAGGCAAGCGGUACUCGAUGGGUAGGGGUAAAAUCCACUGAUCCAUUGAAGACCACCAGUGGCGAAGGCGGCUUGCCAGAACGCGCUCGACGGUGAGGGAUGAAAGCUGGGGGAGCAAACCGG
rnacentral:rRNA from 1 species